rnacentral:rRNA from 1 species
GAUGAACGCUAGCGGCAGGCCUAACACAUGCAAGUCGAGGGGCAUCGCGGUGCAGCAAUGCACGUGGCCGGCGACCGGGCGUACGGGUGCGUAACGCGUAUGCAACCUGCCCCGCACCGGGGGAUAGCCCGCCGAAAGGCGGAUUAAUACCCCAUGGUCCCGGGGGCCCGCAUGGGCAUCCGGGUAAAGCCUUGGCGGUGCGGGAUGGGCAUGCGUGCCAUUAGCUGGCUGGUGGGGUAACGGCCCACCAGGGCAACGAUGGCUAGGGGGUCUGAGAGGAUGGUCCCCCCACACUGGUACUGAGACACGGACCAGACUCCUACGGGAGGCAGCAGUGAGGAAUAUUGGUCAAUGGGCGGAAGCCUGAACCAGCCAUGCCGCGUGCGGGAUGAAGGCCCUACGGGUUGUAAACCGCUUUUCCCCGGGAAGAAUAACCCCGAUGAGUCGGGGGAUGCCGGUACCGGGGGAAUAAGGAUCGGCUAACUCCGUG